CUUGAAGGGAAGAACCCAUUCCUGGCAGCAUUCAUCACCUGCUAACUGAAGAGCCCUUGGGCACUGAAUAAUCAGCAGCGAUACCCAGACACAGAUGAACAUCUACAAGUAUCAAGAUAAUCCAGGAAAACAUGGCCUCAUCAAAUGAAUUAAUAAGGCACUAGGGACCCAAUCUUGGAGAAACAGAGACAGGUGACCUUUCAGACAGAUAAUUCAAAAUAGCUCUUUUAAGGAAACUCAAAGAAAUUCAAGAUAAGACAGAAAAUUCAAAAUUCUAUCAGAUAAAUUUAACAGAGAUUGACAUAAUUAAAAAGAAUCUAAAAGAAAUUCUGGAGCUGAAAAAUGCAAUUGGCAUAAGGAAGAAUGUAUCAGAGUCUCUUAAUGGCAGAAAUGAUCAAGCAGAAGAAAGAAUUAGUGAGCUCCAAGACAGGCUAUUUAAAAAUACACAGUCAGAGAAGACAAAAGAAUAAAGAAUAAAAAACAAUGAAGCAUGCCUACAGGAUCCAGGAAAUAGCCUCAAAAUGGCAAAUUUAAGAGUAAUUUGCCUUAAGAAGGAGGAAGAAAAAGAGACAGGAGUAGAAAGUUAUUCAAAGGGAAAUAACAAAGAACUUCCCAAGCUUAGAGAAAGAUAUCAAUAUCCAAAUACAAGAAGGUUAUAUAGGACACCAAGCAGAUUUAAUCCAAAGAAGACUACCUCAAGGCAUUUAAUAAUCAGACUCCUAAAGAUCAAGGUUAAAGAAUGGAUCCUAAAAGCAGCAAGAUAAAAAAACAAAUAACAUACAAUGAAGCAUCAAUACAUCUGGCAGUAGACUUUUCAGUGGAAACCUUAAAGGCCAAGAGUGAGGGGCAUGACAUAUUGAAAGUGCUGAAGGAGAAAAACUUUUAUUCUAGAAUAGUAUGUCUGGUGAAAACAUUCUUCAAACAUGAAAAAGAAAUAAAGAUUUUCCCAGACAAGGUCGGGUGCAGUGGCUCACACCUGUAAUCCCAGCAUUUUGGGAGGCCGAGGUGGGUGGAUCACGAUGUCAGGAGUUCGAGACCAGUCUGACCAACAUGAUGAAACCCCGUCUCUACUAAAAAUAUAAAAAUUAGCCAGGCAUGGUGGCGCAGGCCUGUAAUCCCAGCUACUGGGGAGGCUGAGGCAGGAGAAUUGCUUGAACUCAGGAGGUGGAGGUUGCAGUGAGCAGAGAUCAUGCCACUGCACUCCAGCCUGGGUGACAGACCAAGACUCCAUCUCAAAAAAAAGAUUUUCCCAGACAAACAAAAGCUGAGGGAUUUCAUCAACACCAGACCUGUCCUACAAAAAAUGCUGAAGAGAGUACUUCAAUCAGAAAGAAAAGGACAUUAAUGAGCAAUAAGUAAUCACCUGAAGGUACAAAACUCACUGGUAUCAGAAAGUACACAGAAAAACAAAAAAUAUUAUAACCCUGUAACUUCCUUGUGUAAACUACUCUUAUCCUAAGUAGAAAAAUUAAAUGGCAAACCAAUAAAAAAUAAUAACUACAACAACUUUUCAAGACAUAGACAGUACAAUAAGAUAUAAACAACAAAAAGUUUAAUAGUUG
rnacentral:lncRNA from 10 species